rnacentral:rRNA from 1 species
GAUGAACGCUGGCGGCGUGCCUAAUACAUGCAAGUCGAGCGAACGGACGAGAAGCUUGCUUCUCUGAUGUUAGCGGCGGACGGGUGAGUAACACGUGGAUAACCUACCUAUAAGACUGGGAUAACUUCGGGAAACCGGAGCUAAUACCGGAUGAUAUUUUGAACCGCAUGGUUCAAAAGUGAAAGACGGUCUUGCUGUCACUUAUAGAUGGAUCCGCGCUGCAUUAGCUAGUUGGUAAGGUAACGGCUUACCAAGGCAACGAUGCAUAGCCGACCUGAGAGGGUGAUCGGCCACACUGGAACUGAGACACGGUCCAGACUCCUACGGGAGGCAGCAGUAGGGAAUCUUCCGCAAUGGGCGAAAGCCUGACGGAGCAACGCCGCGUGAGUGAUGAAGGUCUUCGGAUCGUAAAACUCUGUUAUUAGGGAAGAACAUAUGUGUAAGUAACUGUGCACAUCUUGACGGUACCUAAUCAGAAAGCCACGGCUAACUACGUGCCAGCAGCCGCGGUAAUACGUAGGUGGCAAGCGUUAUCCGGAAUUAUUGGGCGUAAAGCGCGCGUAGGCGGUUUUUUAAGUCUGAUGUGAAAGCCCACGGCUCAACCGUGGAGGGUCAUUGGAAACUGGAAAACUUGAGUGCAGAAGAGGAAAGUGGAAUUCCAUGUGUAGCGGUGAAAUGCGCAGAGAUAUGGAGGAACACCAGUGGCGAAGGCGACUCCCUGGUCUGUAACUGACGCUGAUGUGCGAAAGCGUGGGGAUCAAACAGGAUUAGAUACCCUGGUAGUCCACGCCGUAAACGAUGAGUGCUAAGUGUUAGGGGGUUUCCGCCCCUUAGUGCUGCAGCUAACGCAUUAAGCACUCCGCCUGGGGAGUACGACCGCAAGGUUGAAACUCAAAGGAAUUGACGGGGACCCGCACAAGCGGUGGAGCAUGUGGUUUAAUUCGAAGCAACGCGAAGAACCUUACCAAAUCUUGACAUCCUUUGACAACUCUAGAGAUAGAGCCUUCCCCUUCGGGGGACAAAGUGACAGGUGGUGCAUGGUUGUCGUCAGCUCGUGUCGUGAGAUGUUGGGUUAAGUCCCGCAACGAGCGCAACCCUUAAGCUUAGUUGCCAUCAUUAAGUUGGGCACUCUAAGUUGACUGCCGGUGACAAACCGGAGGAAGGUGGAGAUGACGUCAAAUCAUCAUGCCCCUUAUGAUUUGGGCUACACACGUGCUACAAUGGACAAUACAAAGGGCAGCGAAACCGCGAGGUCAAGCAAAUCCCAUAAAGUUGUUCUCAGUUCGGAUUGUAGUCUGCAACUCGACUACAUGAAGCUGGAAUCGCUAGUAAUCGUAGAUCAGCAUGCUACGGUGAAUACGUUCCCGGGUCU